GAUGAACGCUGGCGGCGUGCCUAAUACAUGCAAGUCGAGCGAACGGACGAGAAGCUGGCUUCUCUGAUGUUAGCGGCGGACGGGUGAGUCACACAUGGAUAACCUCUCUAUGAGACUGGGAUAACUUCGGGAAACCGGAGCUAAUACCGGAUUAUAUUUUGAACCACAUGGUUCAAAAAUGAAAGACAGUCUUGCUGUCACUUAUAGAUCGAUCCGCGGUGCAUUAGCUAGGUGGUGAGGUAACGGCUUACCAAGGCAACGAUGCAUAGCCGACCUGAGAGGGUGAUCGGCCACACGGGAAGAGACACACGGCACACACCCCUACGGGAGGCAGCAGGAGGAAAUUUUGCGCAAGGCGCGAAACCCUGCGGGAGCAACGGCGCGUGAGUAAUGAAUGUUUUCGGCGCGUAAAUCUGUGGUAAGAGGAAAGAACAUAUGUGUAAGUAACGGUCCAAAUCUGGACGGAACCUAAUCAAAAAGCACGGCUAACUACGUG
rnacentral:rRNA from 1 species